rnacentral:rRNA from 1 species
UACGUAGGCAGCAAGCGUUGUUCGGAGUUAUUGGGCGUAAAGAGCUCGUAGGCGGCUUGUCGCGUCGAAUGUGAAAUCUCGGGGCUCAACUCCGAGCUUGCAUUCGAUACGGGCAGGCUAGAGUUCGGUAGGGGAGACUGGAAUUCCUGGUGUAGCGGUGAAAUGCGCAGAUAUCAGGAGGAACACCGGUGGCGAAGGCGGGUCUCUGGGCCGAUACUGACGCUGAGGAGCGAAAGCGUGGGGAGCGAACAGG